UGCUUAACACAUGCAAGUCGAACGAUGAUGCCCAGCUUGCUGGGUGGAUUAGUGGCGAACGGGUGAGUAACACGUGAGUAACCUGCCCCUGACUCUGGGAUAAGCGUUGGAAACGACGUCUAAUACUGGAUAUGACUGCCGGCCGCAUGGUCUGGUGGUGGAAAGAUUUUUUGGUUGGGGAUGGACUCGCGGCCUAUCAGCUUGUUGGUGAGGUAAUGGCUCACCAAGGCGACGACGGGUAGCCGGCCUGAGAGGGUGACCGGCCACACUGGGACUGAGACACGGCCCAGACUCCUACGGGAGGCAGCAGUGGGGAAUAUUGCACAAUGGGCGAAAGCCUGAUGCAGCAACGCCGCGUGAGGGAUGACGGCCUUCGGGUUGUAAACCUCUUUUAGUAGGGAAGAAGCGAAAGUGACGGUACCUGCAGAAAAAGCACCGGCUAACUACGUGCCAGCAGCCGCGGUAAUACGUAGGGUGCAAGCGUUGUCCGGAAUUAUUGGGCGUAAAGAGCUCGUAGGCGGUUUGUCGCGUCUGCUGUGAAAUCCCGAGGCUCAACCUCGGGCUUGCAGUGGGUACGGGCAGACUAGAGUGCGGUAGGGGAGAUUGGAAUUCCUGGUGUAGCGGUGGAAUGCGCAGAUAUCAGGAGGAACACCGAUGGCGAAGGCAGAUCUCUGGGCCGUAACUGACGCUGAGGAGCGAAAGCGUGNGGAGCGAACAGGAUUAGAUACCCUGGUAGUCCACGCCGUAGACGUUGGGCGCUAGAUGUAGGGACCUUUCCACGGUUUCUGUGUCGUAGCUAACGCAUUAAGCGCCCCCGCCUGGGGAGUACGGCCGCA
rnacentral:rRNA from 1 species